CUUACACAUCUCAAAUUCUUUUUAAAAAUUUGGGAGUGUUCCCACUUUGCAAGCAUCCCGAGUGCGUCCUGGGUGUGACUCUUCUGUGAUCUGGCACUUGGCACAGGAAGUAAAAGCGGUAGACAUUUUUAUAGGGUACAGGUGAUCAACCAGCGGGGCUGCAAAAUCUCUGGAACCAGCUGCCCACUCUGCACCCAAGGGCCACACCCACCGCUGUCUGGGCAGAAGUGAGAAUUCAGGGGAGCAUGGAAAUCAGAACAGACCCAUCUCUGAAUGGCCUCGGGCUAUGCGGCUCAUGAGGGGCACGGAACCCACGCCAGUGAAACAUCAGGGAAUGGAGGGAGGUGGGAACCUUUGCCCACCUUUGCAGCAAGAGCCGUUUCAUCUCAAUCUCUUCAUCAGCCUGGGCACAGAGGGCUGCAGUGGGACGGCCCUGGGUUCUCUGCAGGUUGGCACCGAAGCCAACCCAUGGGCUCUGGUGGCGAGUGCUGCGUGACUUGGCUUCAACACUACCCAACACUCUGGAAUUCAUCAGUUGGGGGUGGAGGUUUCCAUUGUAGAAAACAAACCCACCAGGUUUGCCCAGGUGUUAACUAUUUACAGUAGAAACAGGCCAGCCAGGCAGUCUCAGGCUGUCUCUGCCAUCUGGGCUUCCAGACAGUGAAAUGGAGGCAGCAGAGACAGGUGGAGGCUCCCAGAGAGGCAGAAUUGACAGGGGAGGGCACCCAGGAAGCCAGAAUCACCGGUGGAGGCAUCCAGGAAGCCAGAAUUGACAGGUGAAGGUGCCCAGGGCCAUCUGAAGCACACAUGCAGCCUCCAAGUCUCACUCACCCAGAGUGGACCCAGAAGAGUCACUGGAUGGAGCCCCGGGGAGUGUGGGCUCGGGGUCAGGGUCUCCAGGACUCUGCUCCAUCAUGGGCCUUCUAGUAAGAAGAGUCAGUUCUUCGGACUGGAGGUCUUCCCAGAAAACAAAACAUUUCUUUCAGCCUGAUGCAGUGGCUCAUGCCUGUAAUCCCAGCACUUUGGGAGGUUAAGGUGGCAGGAUCCCUUGAGCCCAGGACUUCAAGACCAGCCUGAGCAACACAGGGAGACCCUGUCUCUACAGAUAGUUUUUUAAAUUAGCUGUGGGUGUAGUGGCAGGCACCUGUGGCCCAAGCUACUCAGGAGGCUGAAGUAGGAGGAUCGCUUGAGCCCAGGAGGUCGAGGCUGCAGUGAGCCGUGAUCGUCCACUGCACUCCAGCCUGGGCAACAGAGCAAGAAACUGUGCCCCCCUACCCCCCCAAAAAAGUUUCUUCCUUCCUAACCUGGGAUUUAUCUUUUUGGAAGAUUCCAAAGUCCCAGCAAUGGCGUCCAGACACAAGGUUGUGUGAUGGUGGGCCGGGGAUGCGGGGUGGGGUGAAGACUUGGCCAGAGGGAGGAACAUACCCCGACCCUCCGUCCUCACUGCCUCCAGUCUGCCUGCCCUGCAGUGGGGUUGUUAGAAUCUGGGUCAGGGGUUCACACAUGGCCUGGGCCCACUGCCACCCUCUCCAGAUGUAUCUCCCCAGCUGGCCAGUGGGCUCUCGUCCCUGCUGUUCCUCCCCACCCAGUGCAAAGGGACAAGGAGCCGGGCCCACGGGGCAUGCUGUAGAGAUAAGACCUGGGUACACUGAGGAGGGGUAAGGGGCUGGGCCUCGUCAAGAAGCCCUCCUGCCCAACCUGUCGGAAUGCCUGGAGCUGGAGCCCACUGCAAGGCAGCUGGUGUCCCCCGCAGAGGCCUCCAGGUGGAGCAGGUCUUUGCUCUGCUCCUGGGUUCCCCCGGGAGAGGAAGACUGGCCCACCUGCAGGAAGGGAGAGGCUGGGAUGCCAAUUACAGGCUGGGAUCCCUGGCUCUGCCACUCCCCAGCUGCUGACGGGAGGUUGCUGUGUCUCUCCAGGGCUGUUUCUUCAUCUGCAAAAUGGGGAGGGUGUGAUGGCUCACUGGGCAGGGAGGACCCCGUGAGUUUCGAACAGUCCGUGUGGCUCACACACAGUGUUGAGGAAAACCAGCCCAUCCUUAUUAUCAUUCCCAGUCCAAAUGCCCUUUCCUCCUCGACCUGCUCCCAGGCCACCCUCCCGGACAGCCGCUCUGGGGGAAGAUGAGCACGGGAGGAAAGUGAGAGCAGGACUCAGCACUGGGAAGAGGGAGCAGGAGGGGGACUUUGGCAGGCAGUGGGGAGAGCUUAUGGGCAGAGUCCAAGUGCCUUUCCUGCAGCCUCUGGCCACCUGGAGCUCGGAUGGUGGGGCUGUGCUGAGUCUGACUCCAGAAACCCUCAUCCCAGCUGUGCUCAGGGGGGUAGAUAACAAGUUCCACUUUCCCUCUCCAGUUCUCUUCUGGGAGGUGGGUACCCCAGGCUUCGGGGGAUGACGCCCAGGGGUGAGGGUUGCUCAGGGGCAGGCUGAGGAGGAUCACAAUUAGGAAAGAAUCCUAGCAGACCCCCAGGCAGAAGAGUCAGGAAGGAGUAGACCCUGGUGUUUUGAACUCAGCACUUGUCCGGGCAGUGUGGGAAAGGGGGGCCCGGCGCGGGGAGGCGCCCUGGGAAUGUUCCCAAGGGCUCCACCGGUGUCGCUGGGGUUCCCAGGCAUAGGUUUUGGUGGGAAAAGGGUCGGGGAAGGCAGUGACUAGGUCUCUGUGCCUUUGUUUUAGGCUGGAAGUUAAAUCCAGUGGUCGGCGCAGUCUACGGGCCUGAAUUCUAUGCAGUGACGGGGUUCCCCUACCCCACCACCGGCACAGCCGUUGCCUACCGGGGCGCACAUCUUCGGGGCCGGGGCCGGGCCGUGUAUAAUACAUUUCGGGCAGCGCCACCCCCACCCCCCAUCCCGACUUACGGAGCGGUCGUGUAUCAGGAUGGAUUUUAUGGUGCUGAGAUUUAUGGAGGCUACGCAGCCUACAGAUACGCUCAGCCCGCUGCAGCGGCGGCAGCCUACAGCGACAGUUACGGCAGAGUCUACGCAGCUGCCGACCCGUACCAUCACACCAUCGGGCCCGCGGCGACCUACAGCAUUGGAACCAUGUGAAACCUUCCACCGUUUCCUUCUCGGACCAUGAAGGGC
rnacentral:sRNA from 1 species